ensembl:snRNA U6 U6 spliceosomal RNA
AUGCCUUGGGCAGCACAUAUACCAAAGUUGGAACUAUAUGGAGAAGAUCAGUGUGGCCCCUACAUAAGGCUGGCAUGUGAACUCAUGAAGCAUCCCUCAUUUUC